rnacentral:lncRNA from 1 species
UUUUUGCAUGUCUUUAUUGGGAUUAUGGACAUUUCCUGAUAGUUUGAGAGAGUACAUAUGGAUUUCAACUUGCCAAUGCCAUUGUGAAGUAGAGUCCUAGAAUCGAUGGAUCGGAAGCUUUACUCUCAACAGCAUCAUAACUAUCUAUGUUAUAGUUUGAUGGCAAUUCUAUGUAAGAGUUGAAUUUUGCUCUGAGUAUUUGAAUUCAAUAAAGACUAAAUGAUGAAACUAAUUGAACAACUUGACCUCUGGUUUCUUUUUAGAUAGCAAUGACUGCACAGCAUGCAACUUUUUCACCUUUUCGUCCUAAGAAGUGAGCCUUUGGUCUAGCGAUAGUGAAUUCAAG